GUGCUGGCUUUGGCAGCACGUAUACUAAAAUUGGAAUAAUACAGAAAAGAUUAGUGUAGCCCUGCACAGGGUUGACAUGCACAUUUGUGAAGUGUUCUACAGUUUC